rnacentral:snoRNA from 1 species
ACUGCCCCUAUAAACAUUGUGGGUGUGGCUGCUGUGUCAUAUCAGCAGGUAGCAGAGAGGAGAACAGGUAUGUGUUCUGACUUAUGAACGCCUGAUUAGUAGCUUAACAUU